AAAAAUGGCGGCUGCAAUCUUGCAGCAAAUAUUGGAGCGGUCGGAGAUAUCAAAACUCCCCCAAAAUGUAUUGAGUAAGUUAGAGAAGUACAUUUCUGAACAUCUAUGUGAAGUUGACUGUUUGAAGGCACAACAGGAGCAAUUUCGUGUGGAUAAUGAACAACAGUAUUUUGACAUUGAAAAGAAGUUUGUAGAGAGUCAGGCUCAGUUUGUGUCCCAGACUCAAGAGCAUCAGAUACUGAAAGAAGAGUGCUACAAACUGGGUAAGGAGAGGAUGAGCUGAAAUGCUUACGAGAGAAAAAUAAGGAGCAAGUGUCUUCAUACACCAAACUAGAAUCACAACAGGUAAUGAA